rnacentral:miRNA from 1 species
GAGGUGGGAGGAUCACUAGAGCCAGGGAGGUCAAGGCUGCAGUGAGCAGUGAUCAAGCCACUGCACUCCAGCCUGAGUGACAGAGUAAGACCUUGUCUC